rnacentral:rRNA from 1 species
AGAGGGAAACAACCCAGACCGCCAGCUAAGGUCCCAAAGUCAUGGUUAAGUGGGAAACGAAGUGGGAAGGCUCAGACAGCCAGGAUGUUGGCUUAGAAGCAGCCAUCAUUUAAAGAAAGCGUAAUAGCUCACUGGUCGAGUCGGCGCGCGGAAGAUGUAACGGGGCUAAACCAUGCACCGAAGCUGCGGCAGCGACACUAUGUGUUGUUGGGUAGGGGAGCGUUCUGUAAGCCUGCGAAGGUGUACUGUGAGGUAUGCUGGAGGUAUCAGAAGUGCGAAUGCUGACAUAAGUAACGAUAAUGCGGGUGAAAAACCCGCACGCCGGAAGACCAAGGGUUCCUGUCCAACGUUAAUCGGGG